UUUUCUGCGAGUACGUCACAGCCAGCAAUUAUUAGCUACUGACCUUUCCUCCUCGCUGAAAGUGCUUUACAACCCUAAGGCCUUCUUCACACACGCGGCAUGGCUGCAUCAGGCUUUCGCCCAUUGUGCAAUAUUCCCCACUGCUGCCUCCCGUAGGAGUCUGGGCCGUGUCUCAGUCCCAGUGUGGCUGAUCAUCCUCUCAGACCAGCUAGAGAUCGUCGCCUUGGUAGGCCUUUACCCUACCAACUAGCUAAUCUCACUCAGGCUCAUCAAAUAGCGCAAGGUCCGAAGAUCCCCUGCUUUCCCCCGUAGGAUAUAUGCGGUAUUAAUCAUCGUUUCCAAUGGCUAUCCCCCACUACUUGGUAGAUUCCUGAGCAUUACUCACCCGUCCGCCGCUCGACGCCUAGUAGCAAGCUACUUUCGUUUCCGCUCGACUUGCAUGUGUUAAGCCUGCCGCCAGCGUUCAAUCUGAGCCAUGAUCAAACUCU
rnacentral:rRNA from 1 species